CCUACGGGGGGCAGCAGUGGGGAAUCUUCCGCAAUGGGCGCAAGCCUGACGGAGCAACGCCGCGUGAGUGAAGAAGGUCUUCGGAUCGUAAAGCUCUGUUGACGGGGACGAACGUGCGAAGGGUGAAUAAUCCUUUGUAAUGACGGUACCUGUCGAGGAAGCCACGGCUAACUACGUGCCAGCAGCCGCGGUAAUACGUAGGUGGCGAGCGUUGUCCGGAAUCAUUGGGCGUAAAGGGAGCGCAGGCGGGCAUGUAAGUCUUUCUUAAAAGUUCGGGGCUCAACCCCGUGAUGGGAAAGAAACUACAUGUCUUGAGUACAGGAGAGGAAAGCGGAAUUCCCAGUGUAGCGGUGAAAUGCGUAGAUAUUGGGAGGAACACCAGUGGCGAAGGCGGCUUUCUGGACUGCAACUGACGCUGAGGCUCGAAAGCCAGGGGAGCGAACGGGAUUAGAUACCCGGGUAGUC
rnacentral:rRNA from 1 species